rnacentral:rRNA from 1 species
GACAGAGGUCCCGAGCGUUGUUCGGAUUCAUUGGGCGUAAAGGGUGUGUAGGAGGUCGGGUAAGUCAGGUGUGAAAUCUCACAGCUUAACUGUGAAACUGCGCUUGAUACUGCUCGGCUAGAGGAUCGGAGGGGGUAACGGAAUUUAUGGUGUAGCAGUGAAAUGCGUAGAUAUCUGCAGGAACACCCGUGGCGAAGGCGGCUCGCUGGACCGCAACUGACGCUGAGGAACGAAAGCUAGGGGAGCAAACAGG